CAGCAGCCACGGGAAUACGUAGGUGGCAAGCGUUGUCCGGAAUUAUUGGGCGUAAAGGGCUCGCAGGCGGUUUCUUAAGUCUGAUGUGAAAGCCCCCGGCUCAACCGGGGAGGGUCAUUGGAAACUGGGAAACUUGAGUGCAGAAGAGGAGAGUGGAAUUCCACGUGUAGCGGUGAAAUGCGAAGAGAUGUGGAGGAACACCAGUGGCGAAGGCGACUCUCUGGUCUGUAACUGACGCUGAGGAGCGAAAGCGUGGGGAGCGAACAGGAUUAGAGACCCCCGUAGUCCCUGUCUCUUAUAC
rnacentral:rRNA from 1 species